GGCGGGCGGGAGCUGGGCCGGCUGCCGGGAUUCAGGAAGCGCCGCGCUCCCGGCCGCCGGCGCCGAGCCCUCCCGGAGGCCGAGCAGUGCAGACAGGUCCAGGGGCAGCAUGGCGGAUCCCAGCGAAGGCCCCCGUGUGGGGCCUGGGGAGGUAGCCGAGCCCCCCGGGGAUGAGAGUGGCAUCCCCGGCGGGGAGGCCUUCCCCCUCUCUUCGCUGGCCAACCUGUUCGAGGGGGAGGACGGCUCCCCGUCACCCUCUCCGGCUGAUAGUGGUCGCCCCGCCGGCCCAGGCGAUGGGCGACCAAACCUGCGCAUGAAGUUCCAGGGCGCCUUCCGCAAGGGGGUGCCCAACCCCAUCGACCUGCUGGAGUCCACCUUGUAUGAGUCCUCAGUGGUGCCUGGGCCCAAGAAGGCGCCCAUGGACUCGCUCUUUGACUAUGGCACCUAUCGUCAGCACCCCAGUGACAACAAGCGGUGGAGGAGGAAGGUCAUAGAGAAGCAGCCACAGAGCCCCAAAGCUCCCACACCCCAGCCGCCUCCCAUACUCAAAGUCUUCAACCGGCCUAUCCUCUUUGACAUCGUGUCUCGGGGCUCCACCGCUGACCUGGACGGGCUGCUCCCCUUCUUGCUGACACACAAGAAGCGGCUGACUGACGAGGAGUUCCGGGAGCCAUCCACGGGGAAGACCUGCCUGCCCAAAGCCCUGCUGAAUCUGAGCAACGGCCGCAACGACACAAUCCCUGUGCUUCUGGACAUCGCUGAGCGCACAGGCAACAUGCGGGAAUUCAUCAACUCGCCCUUCCGGGACAUCUACUACCGAGGCCAGACCGCCCUGCACAUCGCCAUCGAGCGCCGCUGCAAACACUAUGUGGAGCUCCUGGUGGCCCAAGGUGCCGAUGUUCACGCGCAGGCCCGGGGGCGCUUCUUCCAGCCCAAGGAUGAGGGAGGCUACUUCUACUUUGGCGAGCUGCCCCUGUCGCUGGCGGCCUGCACCAACCAGCCCCACAUCGUCAACUACCUGACAGAGAACCCGCACAAGAAGGCGGACAUGCGGCGCCAGGACUCCCGUGGCAACACGGUGCUGCACGCGCUGGUGGCCAUCGCUGACAACACUCGCGAGAACACCAAGUUCGUCACCAAGAUGUACGACCUGCUGCUGCUCAAGUGUGCCCGCCUCUUCCCCGACAGCAACCUGGAGGCUGUGCUCAACAACGACGGCCUCUCGCCCCUCAUGAUGGCCGCCAAGACGGGCAAGAUCGGGAUCUUUCAGCACAUCAUCCGUCGGGAGGUGACAGACGAGGACACCAGGCAUCUGUCCCGCAAGUUCAAGGACUGGGCCUACGGGCCAGUGUAUUCCUCACUCUAUGACCUCUCCUCCCUGGACACAUGUGGGGAAGAGGCCUCUGUGCUGGAGAUCCUGGUGUACAACAGCAAGAUCGAGAACCGCCACGAGAUGCUGGCCGUGGAACCCAUCAAUGAACUACUUCGGGACAAGUGGCGAAAGUUCGGGGCCGUUUCCUUCUACAUCAACGUGGCCUCCUAUCUGUGCGCCAUGGUCAUCUUUACCCUCACCGCCUACUACCAGCCGCUGGAGGGCACUCCGCCAUACCCUUACCUCACCACGGUGGACUACCUGAGGCUGGUCGGCGAGAUCAUCACGCUCUUCACCGGGGUCCUGUUCUUUUUCACCAACAUCAAAGACUUGUUCAUGAAGAAAUGCCCUGGAGUGAAUUCUCUCUUCGUCGAUGGCUCCUUCCAACUACUCUACUUCAUCUACUCUGUGCUGGUGAUAGUCUCGGCGGCCCUCUACCUGGCGGGGAUUGAGGCCUACCUGGCCGUCAUGGUCUUUGCCUUGGUCCUGGGCUGGAUGAACGCCCUUUACUUCACCCGUGGGCUGAAGCUGACGGGGACCUAUAGCAUCAUGAUCCAGAAGAUCCUCUUCAAAGAUCUUUUCCGCUUCCUGCUGGUCUACUUGCUCUUCAUGAUUGGCUACGCUUCAGCCCUGGUCUCCCUCCUGAACCCGUGUGCCAACAUGAAGAUGUGCAGCGAGGACCACACCAACUGCACAGUGCCCACGUACCCCUCGUGCCGUGACAGCGAGACCUUCAGCACCUUCCUCCUGGACCUCUUCAAGCUGACCAUCGGCAUGGGCGACCUGGAGAUGCUGAGCAGCACCAAGUACCCCGUGGUCUUCAUCAUCCUGCUCGUCACCUACAUCAUCCUCACGUUCGUGCUGCUCCUCAACAUGCUCAUCGCCCUCAUGGGGGAGACGGUGGGCCAGGUGUCCAAGGAGAGCAAGCACAUCUGGAAGCUGCAGUGGGCCACCACCAUCCUGGACAUCGAGCGCUCCUUCCCUGUGUUCCUGAGGAAGGCCUUCCGCUCCGGCGAGAUGGUGACAGUGGGCAAGAGCUCGGAUGGCACUCCAGACCGCAGGUGGUGCUUCAGGGUGGACGAGGUAAACUGGUCUCACUGGAACCAGAACUUGGGCAUCAUUAACGAGGACCCCGGCAAGAACGAGAACUACCAGUAUUACGGCUUCUCGCACACCGUGGGCCGCCUCCGGAGGGAUCGUUGGUCCUCGGUGGUGCCCCGCGUGGUGGAGCUGAGCAAGAACUCGAACCCGGACGAGGUGGUGGUGCCUCUGGACAACGUGGGGAACCCCAGCUGUGACGGCCACCAGAAGAGUUAUGCCCCCAGGUGGAGGACUGACGACGCCCCCCUCUAGGGGCUGCCGGCAGGAGUAGGGUCCCCUCCACCGCCCAUUUCUAGUCCACCCGCAUUUCGGCGGCGCCUCCUGGGGGGCCCCCCGCACCCUCCUUCGACCCCCAGAGGCCUCCAUCAAAGAAACAAGAUGGCGCCACUGUUUCAGGAAUCACAUCCAGAUUCGGCAGCAUCCAGAGGAAGAAGGAGAAAUGGUUCUUCCUGUGUCUCUUUUUAUGAGGGAGGAAACCUUUCCCUGAAGUCCCCCAGCCAACCUCCCCUCUUGUAUUAUUGGCCAGAAUUGUGUCAUGUGUCCCAUGCUUCAGCCAAUCAGCAGGCUGGAAGCAGCAGUUGUCCUAAAGCAGCAGAAGGCAAUAUGGAGAAAGUGGGAUGUUAGCAGACGUGCCGGCGCCAGCACCCAGGAGGAGGAUGAGAGAACGUGGAAUAGAGCUGUGUCAUCCCAGGCAAGCCUCACAGAGAUCAGAGGGACCCCACAGAUGCGGGACCAAAAACAUUUUUUUUGUAUGUCAUUGAGUUUUGUGAUUUUUUUCAAGUGCAGGCAUCAAUUUUGUGGCAAUAGCUAAUGAAUACAGACAAUAGAAGAAAGAGUAACUAGAAUCUGGUGAGGCCAAAAAGAAACAAAAAACAAAAACCGAAAAACUGAAUGUCCACUGCACUCCAUGUUAUGAAUGGGGAAACGGAGGCUCAGAGAGGGGAAGACACUUGCCCAGGGCAGCUGGCUGGUAAGUGGUGGAGGUGGGAUUUGAACCCAGGCAUUCUGCCCUCAGACCCCAUCCUGGAGAGAAAACACUCUGACCCCUGAGGGGUGAGAGGUGGUGAGGCCAGAUCGCUUCUGCAGUGGGGUAAGACCCUGGCUGUUGCCCGCCACUUCUGCUGAGCCCUGGAGACUGUCAGUUUGAACAUACCCCUAACUUUAUUCCAAUAAGGAUUUCUUAUUAUGUGCGUGUAUGUGUAUUUAAUAAUGUUAAAGCACUUGUAUGUCAUAUGUGACAGCAGGGUUUUUUUCAUCCCAACUUUAAAGCGCUACUGGGAAAUAAUUAGUGCUACCAGAGUCAAAAACAAUGGGACCCCAUCAGAAAAGACAGUCUCAGAAACUCUUGGAUCUUAAUUGAACAAUUACCUCUUAUGCCUGUGAAUAGUUCAUUAUUACAUGCCCUGUUAUUAUUAGCUGUUAUUAUUGUUUUAGAUGA